UGGAUUAAAACUGUGUGCCACUAUGCC
rnacentral:piRNA from 1 species